UCCGCAGGCGGCCCUUCAAGUCUGCUGUUAAAACGUGGAGCUUAACUCCAUCAUGGCAGUGGAAACUGUUGGGCUUGAGUGUGGUAGGGGCAGAGGGAAUUCCCGGUGUAGCGGUGAAAUGCGUAGAUAUCGGGAAGAACACCAGUGGCGAAGGCGCUCUGCUGGGCCAUAACUGACGCUCAUGGACGAAAGCCAGGGGAGCGAAAG
rnacentral:rRNA from 1 species